rnacentral:rRNA from 1 species
GGGUUGUGAGGUUAAGCGACUAAGCGUACACGGUGGAUGCCCUGGCAGUCAGAGGCGAUGAAGGGCGUGCUAAUCUGCGAUAAGCGCCGGUAAGGUGAUAUGAACCGUUAUAACCGGCGAUACCCGAAUGGGGAAACCCAGUGUGAUUCGUCACACUAUCAUUAACUGAAUCCAUAGGUUAAUGAGGCGAACCGGGGGAACUGAAACAUCUAAGUACCCCGAGGAAAAGAAAUCAACCGAGAUUCCCCCAGUAGCGGCGAGCGAACGGGGAGGAGCCCAGAGCCUGAAUCAGCAUGUGUGUUAGUGGAAGCGUCUGGAAAGGCGCGCGAUACAGGGUGACAGCCCCGUACACAAAAGCGCAUGUGCUGUGAGCUCGAUGAGUAGGGCGGGACACGUGGUAUCCUGUCUGAAUAUGGGGGGACCAUCCUCCAAGGCUAAAUACUCCUGACUGACCGAUAGUGAACCAGUACCGUGAGGGAAAGGCGAAAAGAACCCCGGCGAGGGGAGUGAAAAAGAACCUGAAACCGUGUACGUACAAGCAGUGGGAGCACAGGUUUACCUGUGUGACUGCGUACCUUUUGUAUAAUGGGUCAGCGACUUAUAUUCUGUAGCAAGGUUAACCGUAUAGGGGAGC